GAAAAGAUUAUUUCAGAUAAGGUUGUGUCUGCAGUCGAGCAGUCAGACUACAAGAUGAAGAAUCUGAUGGAGAGAAUCAGUGAGGUGAAGGGUGAACCCAGAUACGAUGCCAGAAUCAAGAAACUGGAAACUCAUGUAAGGAAGAUAAAACGAAGGGGAGAUGCCAUAUUUGCAUAUAUAAGAAAGUUCAGAUCCUUGGGGAUUUCUCACAGUCCGUCUCCCCCUCCUUUAAGUCCUCCUCCCAUGCAGCCACAGCAAUCCAUCUCUCCGGCUGAACUAAUAAACAAUAUAUCCAGAAGUUCAGUCAAUGGAGGGUGUUUCAGUAACAGCGCGUCAGUGUCAUCCGCAGACAAUGAUUGUGAGAUGACCACAUUGAGAAGACCAAAGAAAGGGUUCUGGCAGAGUUUGAAGUCUAAGAAUCAGGUUGUUGACCUAACAGAAGAAGACCGAGCAGACAGACUGAAUGAAGAGAGCCUGGUUACCCAACUAUCGGAUCCGAUAUUGCUACCUUCAAAACCAGAACAAUCAAAACCCUCAAGCACACCACCUAUAGCCAUUAAAGAAGAAAAUCUAAGUGGUAUGGAGGAAGACUGUGUCAGUUCUUCAGUACAGUUGGAAGAGGAGGACUGGCACUCAAAACUCCAUCCAUUCCCAGACACUCCAUUUCCCAAAGAGCUUCCAGUUAUUGCUGCCUCUUAUAACUUGCCCCAGAAGCCAGUGGUGAAACUAGCUCGGAUUGGAAGCGCACAAGAACUAGGUAUCGCGUGGAAUGUUGAUCAGAAAGAUCCACAUGUAACAGAGAUGGAUUGCUACUACAUUUAUGUUUCCCAUGAACACAAAAAUGGCACUUUUUCAGGAUGGAAGUGCCUUGGAGAGAUCAAAGCCAUGCCUCUUCCUAUGGCCUGCAAGUUGUCAGACUGCAAAGGAGAUAAAAGACUGUGCUUUAUCGUUGUGGGGAAGGAUAUAUUUGGCCGUUAUGGGCCAUACAGUGAAAUACGCACUGUUGCACCAGGACAAAUGUGAUUCUGAAAAAUAUUUGGAAUAUUUAAGAUUUCAGUUUCUUAAAAGAUAUUGAGUUGGGUACAAAUAAAGUUAAAGCUUUUUUUUUGUUUUUUUUUUCACUGCAGAAAAUCCAAGUUUCAAAAAAGUAUCAGAGAGCCAUGUAAGUCAUUCUUCUUAUUUGAAUCUCACUAAAACAACAGUAUUAAGAAAGAA